rnacentral:rRNA from 1 species
AUUUGAAAUCUAGUACCCCUGGGUGCUCGAGUUGUAAUUUGGAGAGGCAACUUCGGGGAGGGCGUUGGCCUAUGUUCCUUGGAACAGGAUGUCAUAGAGGGUGAGAAUCCCGUGCUUGGCCAACUGUCCCACCCCAUGUGAAGUGUCUUCGACGAGUCGAGUUGUUUGGGAAUGCAGCUCAAAAUGGGUGGUAAACUCCAUCUAAGGCUAAAUAUUGGCGAGAGACCGAUAGCGCACAAGUAGAGUGAUCGAAAGAUGAAAAGCACUUUGAAAAGAGAGUUAAAAAGUACGUGAAAUUGUUGAAAGGGAAGCGCUUGAGACCAGACACAGUGGUUGGUGAUCAGUGGUGGCUUUCAGCCCCAUGCACUUGCCUACCACUGGGCCAGCAUCAGUUAUGGCGGUGGGAUAAAGGUUGAGGGAAUGUGGCUCCCUUCGGGGAGUGUUAUAGCCCUUGACGCAAUGCCACCUGCUUUGAUUGAGGACCGCGCUUCGGCUAGGAUGCUGGCAUAAUGGUCUUCAGCGACCCGUCUUGAAACACGGACCAAGGAGUCUAACAUCUAUGCAAGUGUUCGGGUGUAAAACCCCUACGCGUAAUGAAAGUGAACGGAGGUGGGAACCUUUUAGGUGCACCAUCGACCGAUCCUGAUGUCUUCGGAUGGAUUUGAGUAAGAGCAUAGCUGUUGGGACCCGAAAGAUGGUGAACUAUGCCUGAAUAGGGUGAAGCCAGAGGAAACUCUGGUGGAGGCUCGCAGCGGUUCUGACGUGCAAAUCGAUCGUCAAAUUUGGGUAUAGGGGCGAAAGACUAAUCGAA